AUUGAACGCUGGCGGCAGGCCUAACACAUGCAAGUCGAGCGGAUGAAGGGAGCUUGCUCCUGGAUUCAGCGGCGGACGGGUGAGUAAUGCCUAGGAAUCUGCCUGGUAGUGGGGGAUAACGUCCGGAAACGGGCGCUAAUACCGCAUACGUCCUGAGGGAGAAAGUGGGGGAUCUUCGGACCUCACGCUAUCAGAUGAGCCUAGGUCGGAUUAGCUAGUUGGUGGGGUAAAGGCCUACCAAGGCGACGAUCCGUAACUGGUCUGAGAGGAUGAUCAGUCACACUGGAACUGAGACACAGUCCAGACUCCUACGGGAGGCAGCAGUGGGGAAUAUUGGACAAUGGGCGAAAGCCUGAUCCAGCCAUGCCGCGUGUGUGAAGAAGGUCUUCGGAUUGUAAAGCACUUUAAGUUGGGAGGAAGGGCAGUAAGUUAAUACCUUGCCGUUUUGACGUUACCAACAGAAUAAGCACCGGCUAACUUCGUG
rnacentral:rRNA from 1 species